rnacentral:lncRNA from 1 species
GAGAAAAGCCACGAAUAGUUUCAAACAAGAAUGCAAGUUUCGCACUAUCAGCGCGGCCGGACAGACUGCAUGCGGAACACGUGCGUGCAAAAGCCUGAGAAA